GAAGUAGAUAGCUUGCUAUUUACGGAGUGAGUCGCGAACGGGUGAGUAACGCGUAGGUAACCUACCUUUUAGCGGGGGAUAACUAUUGGAAACGAUAGCUAAUACCGCAUAAUAUUCUAUAUUUCAUGAUAGAGGAUUGAAAGAUGCAACUGCAUCACUAAGAGAUGGACCUGCGUUGUAUUAGCUAGUUGGUGAGGUAACGGCUCACCAAGGCAACGAUACAUAGCCGACCUGAGAGGGUGAUCGGCCACACUGGGACUGAGACACGGCCCAGACUCCUACGGGAGGCAGCAGUAGGGAAUCUUCGGCAAUGGGGGGAACCCUGACCGAGCAACGCCGCGUGAGUGAAGAAGGUUUUCGGAUCGGUAAAGCUCUGUUGUAAGAGAAGAACGAGUGUGAGAGUGGAAAGUUCACACUGUGACGGUAUCUUACCAGAAAGGGACGGCUAACUACGUGCCAGCAGCCGCGGUAAUACGUAGGUCCCGAGCGUUGUCCGGAUUUAUUGGGCGUAAAGCGAGCGCAGGCGGUUUGAUAAGUCUGAAGUUAAAGGCUGUGGCUCAACCAUAGUUCGCUUUGGAAACUGUCAAACUUGAGUGCAGAAGGGGAGAGUGGAAUUCCAUGUGUAGCGGUGAAAUGCGUAGAUAUAUGGAGGAACACCGGUGGCGAAAGCGGCUCUCUGGUCUGUAACUGACGCUGAGGCUCGAAAGCGUGGGGAGCAAACAGGAUUAGAUACCCUGGUAGUCCACGCCGUAAACGAUGAGUGCUAGGUGUUAGGCCCUUUCCGGGGCUUAGUGCCGCAGC
rnacentral:rRNA from 1 species